CCCGGGCCUUCGAGGACCCUCGUGACUGACAAGCCGGUGCGCCAAUCAGGUGCAGCUGGAGCGUCACGCCAAGGAGCCGGAGCGGCUGGUACUGGUUAUCACUGCACUUUAUCAAAUGGCAUCCCCAUUUCAAUUGAGAAUGAAGAGGUUCUUGGAUAAAGAACUUUAAAAAUCAGCCUAGAAGAUGGACUUUUGGCAAGCCAUAAUAGACUGCUCCUUUCCCAGGCAUACCAUUUUUAGUUAUCCCCUACCUCUCCAGUCCAAGGAAGAACUGGUUGUUUCUUAUUGAUGACCUCCAUCUCACAGUGAUGAUGGUGAUAAUGAUGAUGAUGGUGAUGACAGAGAAAAUGCUGCCACAGACUUUGUAGAUAAAAAUGGAUGUUUUGAACUUUGGCAAAACAUUUUCUCUUCUGAGAUGGAACAAGGCAGCCAUUUUGACAAUAGCUAAGAAAAUGACAUAGCAGUUCUGGACAGGAAUAUUACAAAAGCUGUAUUGAAAUUACAAGAACAAUUGAAACAAAGAAUUGGCCCCAACCUGGAUUCCCACAUAAUGGGACACACUCACAAAUGAUGGCAUGGAUACAUUUUUCUACUAAGAAGAGUUGAAUUGUGUUCUGCUAAGGCUAACUCUGCAGAUCUGGCUCUACAUACUCCAAUGUCCUAGAGAGAUCAGAAUAUAAGUCACUUGUGUAAAAUAUCUCCCAUCUUUGUAAGCAUAGCCAAUGCAAGUGGUGUAAAGAUUUUUUAAAUAAAGCACCAGCCUUUCUUACUUUCAUUUCA